rnacentral:tRNA from 1 species
GGCUCCGUAUCUUAACCGGACAGAGCAUCCCGGCCGCAGGCCGGGAAGGUUGAAGGUUCGAGUCCUUCCGGAGUCA